rnacentral:tRNA from 1 species
GCAGUCGUGGCCGAGUGGUUAAGGCGUCUGACUAGAAUUCAGAUUCCCUCUGGGAGCGUAGGUUCGAGUCCUACCGACUGCG